rnacentral:rRNA from 1 species
CCCUAGUAUGAAAAAUUUAUAUGAUUAUUAUGUUGUGAAAUUUAAAAUUUUUGGCGGUUAAGUAUUAAAUUAGAGGAGUUUGUUUUUUAGAAAUUACUCUUUGGAUUUAAUUAAUUUUUGUUUAUUUAUCUCCGUUAUUAGGUUUAGAUUAUAUAAGUUUGCUCUAAUAUUUCAGGUCAAGAUGUAGCAAAGAUUAAUGAAAAUUAACUACAAUUAUGAAGUAAUGGAUUUAAUUUUUGAAAAUGAUGUUGAAAUUGAAUUUAGUUGUAAUAAAGUUUAGAAAGUUUUUAUGAAGUAGUAUGUUUAAUGUA